rnacentral:rRNA from 1 species
GGGGUGCUCUGUUAGGGUGAAAGCCCGAGAGAGCCGCAGUGAAUAGGCCCAGGCGACUGUUUAGCAAAAACACAGGUCUCUGCGAAGCCGUAAGGCGAAGUAUAGGGGCUGACGCCUGCCCGGUGCUGGAAGGUUAAGAGGAGCGCUUAGCGUAAGCGAAGGUGCGAAUUGAAGCCCCAGUAAACGGCGGCCGUAACUAUAACGGUCCUAAGGUAGCGAAAUUCCUUGUCGGGUAAGUUCCGACCCGCACGAAAGGCGCAACGAUCUGGGCACUGUCUCAACGAGAGACUCGGUGAAAUUAUAGUACCUGUGAAGAUGCAGGUUACCCGCGACAGGACGGAAAGACCCCGUGGAGCUUUACUGCAGCCUGAUAUUGAAUGUUGGUACAGCUUGUACAGGAUAGGUAGGAGCCUUGGAAACCGGAGCGCCAGCUUCGGUGGAGGCAUCGGUGGGAUACUACCCUGGCUGUAUUGACCUUCUAACCCG